rnacentral:lncRNA from 7 species
CUUUCUUUGUUUCAGCUCAUUGUGACUGCUAGCAGCAGUAUAGCAGUGCAGUGGCUCAGCUUCAUGUUACUGAAAGUGUUGCCAUGUCGUGCCAAUUGGAGUUCCUUGUUCACAUCAUCAGCCGGAAAAAGUGCAUCUUCGUGAAAACUGGAAAGUCGGGGCUGUUGCCCUUUGGAACUACUACUCCAGUAGUGAAUUUCAAAGAAUUUCCAUGGAACCUAUUGGACAU